GCACUACAGGCGCUCUGGCCUUUGGAUUCUGUACCUGUGCCAGCAAUUCCCAAAUUCUCCGGCUUUUUUAGCGAGUGGCCCUUCGCCCUACCUGUCAGCACUAGUUUUUACCAUUUGCCACAUCGCUGCAAGUUUGCCUCAUUCCAAGUCCAGGAAGUGUAGACUAUGCAAAGACCUCCGUCAUUCUAAUUCCCUGCAGGCUUCUCCUCUUCUGCAAAGUUUAUUCUUUGGAAGUUCGGUAUCAUCACCCUGACUCACUGGUUUUGUGUGUGAGCACUGCCCGUGCGUGUAAAAAUGGUGAAACGUCCUUGGUGUUCCACCUGCAUGGUUAUCUGUGUAUCACAUGCCCACAGAGGUCAGAAGUUGGAUCUCCUAGCACUGGAGUUACAGGUGAUUGUGAGCUGCCAUGUUGGUGCUGGUCAUUGUCUAGAAGAGCUGCCAGUGGUCUUAACCACUUAGCCAUCUCUCCAGCCAUUAACUACAGAUCUUAAACUGCCUCUCCUCUGACGCUCUUCUCCACUCAUCGACCAGCUGCAUCCAGAUCACUCAUGCCAGGAUGGGGCAGGACACUGUCCCUUCUCAGAGACGUCUGCCCCCAACCAGACACAUACCUUAAGGGCCACCAUAGAGUGGCUGAGAGUCCGCUCUGCACUAGCCAGUUGACUCAUCCCAGACAGUUACUCAACCUCACUGAACCUCAGGUUUCUCUCUUUACGAGAGGAGAAUGCCAGACCUGGUGGUGAACACCUGGAAUCCCAGUACUUAGGAGGCCGCGUGAGGCAGGAUGACCGCCGCUAAGUCAAAGCCAGCCAGGGCACCGGGGUGAACUCUGGCCUGGCAUAUAGAGCGAACCUCUGUCUCAAAAAGGGAAGAGUGGGAAUAUGAUGCUGGUUGACAUGCAAAGCAGCCCUUAGUACAUUACACACACAGAAAGGGCGUACAUAGACCUCUGUGUGCAGAGGUGUUCUGUCCUGCUAGAAACACACACUAGUCCCUUCGUGUCCUUUCUUAGGGCCCCAGGCUGGGGUAGGCUGGUCUUCACUCCUCCACCUACUCUACGUCUCGGGGCUCACUCUCCCAGCUACUAGGCUCACAACCCAACCCGUUCCUCACGAGCAAAGUGGAGAUAGACACUCUAACCGUUCUUGUAGCAGUUUUGCAGACAGGAGCAGAGACUGCUGGUCUGUCCAGCCUCUUCAGCCAGCCAGAAGCACUGACCUGAAGACUGGACCUGAGGCUGAACCAAUCUUCUCUGGAAGAGGGCUGGGGGCGGGGCUCUCCUGAGCCCUGUGCAGACCCCUGCAUCUGAGUCUGAGGACCCUCCCCUCCAAGAGUAACAAACAUUCAAAUGCACCCAUGUCCCUCAUUCAAUGUAACUCUUCUUUAGUUUAAACUAAAGGGGCCUCUGUUGACUUGCUUUUGAAGUUGCUCUUGAAGUUACCCGACUAUGAGUAACUCAUUUAGUUUAGAACUGUCUAUGACUACAAUCAUGCUGUGGAUUCUGGAGCGUUUGCCAAAAAUCCAAUUUACAAAUUGUUUUCAAAUAUAAUGACAUUUGUAUGGAUAUGAAAAUUAAUAAAUAUUGAAGUUGA